GACGAACGCUGGCGGCGUGCCUAACACAUGCAAGUCGAGCGGGGUUGAGGCGAGAGGUAACUCGAGCUUCUACCUAGCGGCGGACGGGUGAGUAACGCGUGGGCAACCUGCCUCAAGGUUUGGGAUAACAGCCCGAAAGGGCUGCUAAUACCGGAUAUGCCUAUGGCCUCGCAUGGGGCUAUGAGCAAAGGGGAAACCCGCCUUGAGAUGGGCCCGCGUCCCAUCAGCUAGUUGGUGAGGUAACAGCUCACCAAGGCGACGACGGGUAGCCGGCCUGAGAGGGUGACCGGCCACACUGGGACUGAGACACGGCCCAGACUCCUACGGGGGGCAGCAGUGGGGGAUCUUGCACAAUGGGCGAAAGCCUGAUGCAGCGACGCCGCGUGAGCGAAGAAGGCCUUCGGGUUGUAAAGCUCUGUCUGGAGGGACGAACAAAUAGACGGUACCCCCGGACGGAAGCCACGGCUAACUACGUG
rnacentral:rRNA from 1 species